rnacentral:rRNA from 1 species
CGAAAUAGCUUUAGGGCUAGCCUCAUGAGAGUCUUAUGGAGGUAGAGCACUGAAUUGCCUAGGGGGCGUCAAAGCUUACCAAAGCAUAUCAAACUCCGAAUGCCAUCAAGAUGAUUCAUGGGAGUCAGACCAUACGAGAUAAGUUGGAUGGUCAAAAGGGAAAGAGCCCAGACCUACAGCUAAGGUCCCAAAGUACGUGUUAAGUGGAAAAGGAUGUGGGGAUUCUAAGACAACUAGGACGUUGGCUUAGAAGCAGCCACUCAUUAAAAGAGUGCGUAAUAGCUCACUAGUCGAGAGUCCCUGCGCCGAAAAUGUCCGGGGCUGAAACACGACACCGAAGCUUAGGAAUGUGUAAACAUUGGUAGAGGAGCAUUGCUGGCGGGAUGAAGCCAUACCGUAAGGAGUGGUGGACUGCUAGGAAGAGAGAAUGCCGGAAUGAGUAGCGAGAUGAAGGUGAGAAUCCUUCAGGCCGAAUAUCUAAGGUUUCCAGAGUAAAGCUGAUCUGCUCUGGGUAAGUCGGGACCUAAGGCGAGGUCGAAAGACGUAGUCGAUGGAUAACAGGUUGAAAUUCCUGUACCGCAUAUAAACAGAACUGUGGGGACACAGACAGGGAAUGGAAUCCGGGAAUGGAUAUCCCGGUGCAAGCGAGGUAGGAGUGCUGUUGGCAAAUCCGCAGCACGAUCUGAAGACGUGACGCGUACCGAACAUAAGUAGGGAAGUCCAGGCCCCUGGCUGUCAAGAAAAGCCGCUAUCGUUUUAUAUGUGCCCGUACCGCAAACCGACACAGGUGGAUGAGGAGAGAAUCCUAAGGCCGACGGGAGAAGUAUUGUUAAGGAACUCGGCAAAAUGACUCCGUAACUUCGGGAGAAGGAGUGCCAUGAGAGUGGCCGCAGAGAAAUGGCCCAAGCAACUGUUUAGCAAAAACACAGGUCUAUGCAAAACCGUAAGGUGAAGUAUAUGGGCUGACGCCUGCCCGGUGCUGGAAGGUUAAGGGGAGAGGUUAGCGCAAGCGAAGCUUUGAACUUAAGCCCCAGUAAACGGCGGCCGUAACUAUAACGGUCCUAAGGUAGCGAAAUUCCUUGUCGGGUAAGUUCCGACCCGCACGAAAGGCGUAAUGAUUUGGGCACUGUCUCAACAAUGCACCCGGUGAAAUUGAAAUACCAGUGAAGAUGCUGGUUACCUGCGCCAGGACGGAAAGACCCCAUGGAGCUUUACUCCAGCUUGAUACUGGGAUUCGAUAUUGUAUGUACAGGAUAGGUGGGAGGCGAAGAAGCAUUGACGCCAGUUGAUGCGGAGCCGCUGUUGGGAUACCACCCUUGCAGUAUUGGAUUUCUAACCAGCAGCCGUGACCCGGCUGGGGGACAAUGUCAGGUGGGGAGUUUGACUGGGGCGGUCGCCUCCGAAAGGGUAUCGGAGGCGCUCAAAGGUUCCCUCAGAAUGGUUGGAAACCAUUCGAAGAGUGCAAAGGCAGAAGGGAGCUUGACUGCGACACCGACGGGUGGAGCAGGUACGAAAGUAGGACUUAGUGAUCCGGUGGUAUAAAGUGGGAUUGCCAUCGCUCAACGGAUAAAAGCUACCCUGGGGAUAACAGGCUUAUCACUCCCAAGAGUUCACAUCGACGGAGUGGUUUGGCACCUCGAUGUCGGCUCAUCGCAUCCUGGGGCUGUAGUAGGUCCCAAGGGUUGGGCUGUUCGCCCAUUAAAGCGGUACGCGAGCUGGGUUCAGAACGUCGUGAGACAGUUCGGUCCCUAUCCGGCGUGGGCGUAGGAUAUCUGAGAGGAGCUGUCCUUAGUACGAGAGGACCGGGAUGGACGGACCGCUGGUGGACCGGUUGGCUUGCCAAAGCCAUGGCCGGGUAGCCAAGUCCGGAAGGGAUAAACGCUGAAGGCAUCUAAGCGUGAAGCCCCCCUCAAGAUGAGAUAUCCCAUUCGAAAGAAGUAAGACCCCUUGAAGACGACGAGGUAGAUAGGGCAGAGGUGGAAGUGUGGUAACACAUGGAGCUGACUGUUACUAAUCGGGUGAGGGCUUGACCAA